UUGAACGCUGGCGGCAUGCCUUACACAUGCAAGUCGAACGGCGGCAUGAUCUAGCUUGCUAGAUUGAUGGCGAGUGGCGAACGGGUGAGUAAUACAUCGGAACGUGCCCUGUAGUGGGGGAUAACUAGUCGAAAGAUUAGCUAAUACCGCAUACGACCUGAGGGUGAAAGUGGGGGACCGCAAGGCCUCAUGCUAUAGGAGCGGCCGAUGUCUGAUUAGCUAGUUGGUGAGGUAAAGGCUCACCAAGGCGACGAUCAGUAGCUGGUCUGAGAGGACGAUCAGCCACACUGGGACUGGGACACGGCCCAGACUCCUACGGGAGGCAGCAGUGGGGAAUUUUGGACAAUGGGGGCAACCCUGAUCCAGCAAUGCCGCGUGUGUGAAGAAGGCCUUCGGGUUGUAAAGCACUUUUGUCCGGAAAGAAAUCGCACUUACUAAUAUUAGGUGUGGAUGACGGUACCGGAAGAAUAAGGACCGGCUAACUACGUGCCAGCAGCCGCGGUAAUACGUAGGGUCCAAGCGUUAAUCGGAAUUACUGGGCGUAAAGCGUGCGCAGGCGGUUGUGCAAGACCGAUGUGAAAUCCCCGGGCUUAACCUGGGAAUUGCAUUGGUGACUGCACGGCUAGAGUGUGUCAGAGGGGGGUAGAAUUCCACGUGUAGCAGUGAAAUGCGUAGAGAUGUGGAGGAAUACCGAUGGCGAAGGCAGCCCCCUGGGAUAACACUGACGCUCAUGCACGAAAGCGUGGGGAGCAAACAGGAUUAGAUACCCUGGUAGUCCACGCCCUAAACGAUGUCAACUAGUUGUUGGGGAUUCAUUUCCUUAGUAACGUAGCUAACGCGUGAAGUUGACCGCCUGGGGAGUACGGUCGCAAGAUUAAAACUCAAAGGAAUUGACGGGGACCCGCACAAGCGGUGGAUGAUGUGGAUUAAUUCGAUGCAACGCGAAAAACCUUACCUACCCUUGACAUGCCACUAACGAAGCAGAGAUGCAUUAGGUGCUCGAAAGAGAAAGUGGACACAGGUGCUGCAUGGCUGUCGUCAGCUCGUGUCGUGAGAUGUUGGGUUAAGUCCCGCAACGAGCGCAACCCUUGUCUCUAGUUGCUACGAAAGGGCACUCUAGAGAGACUGCCGGUGACAAACCGGAGGAAGGUGGGGAUGACGUCAAGUCCUCAUGGCCCUUAUGGGUAGGGCUUCACACGUCAUACAAUGGUGCAUACAGAGGGUUGCCAAGCCGCGAGGUGGAGCUAAUCCCAGAAAAUGCAUCGUAGUCCGGAUCGUAGUCUGCAACUCGACUACGUGAAGCUGGAAUCGCUAGUAAUCGCGGAUCAGCAUGCCGCGGUGAAUACGUUCCCGGGUCUUGUACUCACCGCC
rnacentral:rRNA from 1 species